AUAGCAUAAUGUUCCGAAAAGGUCACCUUCACACAACGAAGAUUGCUAAAACCACACAUUUAAAAAUGGGCGUUAUAGACUCAUUGGCUGUGUUCUAUUGGUGUUACCUUGCGUUUUAACAGAAUUUUACCGAUUUUGCUACUACGGAUCGUGGGCGUCCAAUCGUCACGCCCCGAACGCACUCCGCCCUGGAGACAUCAACCCCUCUCUGUGCUCGCACCUGUCCUAUUCCUUUCUGGACCUGGACGAUACUGCCACCAGGAUUAUACCAACACCGGACCCACCGCAUCCAGAGACCCUUAUGACACAAUUCAACAACCUCAAGAAGAGGAAUAGGGGUCUGAAAACCAUCGCUUCGGUGGGAGGUUGGGCCAUGGGAACUGAAGCCUUCAUCAAGCUUGUAUCCUCGCAGGACUUGAUGAACCAGUUUGCUGGAAAC